rnacentral:rRNA from 1 species
UACGGGAGGCAGCAGUGGGGAAUAUUGCACAAUGGGCGCAAGCCUGAUGCAGCCAUGCCUCGUGUAUGAAAAAGGCCUUCGGGUUGUAAAGUACUUUCAGUCGUGAGGAAGGUGUUAAGGUUAAUAACCUUAGCAAUUGACGUUAGCGACAGAAGAAGCACCGGCUAACUCCGUGCCAGCAGCCGCGGUAAUACGGAGGGUGCGAGCGUUAAUCGGAAUUACUGGGCGUAAAGGGCACGCAGGCGGUUAAUUAAGUUGGAUGUGAAAUCCCCGGGCUUAACCUGGGAAUGGCAUUCAAGACUGGUUAGCUAGAGUCUUGUAGAGGGGGUAGAAUUCCAUGUGUAGCGGUGAAAUGCGUAGAGAUGUGGAGGAAUACCGGUGGCGAAGGCGGCCCCUGGGACAAAGACUGACGCUCAUGUGCGAAAGCGUGGGGAGCAAAC